AACGCUGGCGGCAUGCCUAAUACAUGCAAGUCGAACGAACUGCCCCUGAACUAAAAGAAGUGCUUGCACGGAAGUUAGGGACGGAAUUUGCAGUUAGUGGCGAACGGGUGAGUAACACGUGGGUAACCUACCAUAGAGAUUGGGAUAACUGUUGGAAACGACAGCUAAAACCGAAUAAGAUUAAUUCUACAAAGAGGAAUAAUUUAAAUAGGCGUUUGCCUAGCUUUAUGAUGGGCCCGCGGUGCAUUAGCUAGUUGGUGAGGUAAAGGCUCACCAAGGCGACGAUGCAUAGCCGGACUGAGAGGUUGAACGGCCACAUUGGGACUGAGACACGGCCCAGACAACUACAGUUGGCAGCAGUAGGGAAUUUUUCGCAAUGGACGAAAGUCUGACGGAGCAAUGCCGCGUGAGUGAAGACGGUUUUCGGAUUGUAAAACUCUGUUGUGUGGGAAGAACACUAAUGAGAGGAAAUGCUCAUUAAUUGACGCAACCACACCAAGAAAGCCACGGCUAACUACGUGCCAGCAGCCGCGGUAAUACGUAGGUGGCGAGCGUUAUCCGGAAUUAUUGGGCGUAAAGAGCGUGUAGGCGGUAUGAUAAGUCUGGUGUGAAAUCUAGUGGCUCAACCACUAAAUUGCAUUGGNAACUGCCAAACUANAAUACGGGAGAGGUAAGUGGAANUCCAUGUGUAGCNGUGGGAAUGCGUAAUAUAUNGAGGGACAACAAUGGCGAAGGNAGCNUACUNGGACCGAGANUGACGCUGAAACGCAAAACCUUGGGAACAAACANGAUUAAAUUCCCCNGUUAUNCACCCCGUUAANCAAGAGUGCNAGGUANUGGNUUAAUUUCANUGCCCGGNGUUAACNCAUUAANCCCNCCCCCCGAAGGAUUACGGUCCCAAGGGUGAAANNCAAANGGAAUUGCNGGGGACCCCCCAA
rnacentral:rRNA from 1 species